GGAUAUAGAUUGAUAUCUUUAAUCGUGGUGCAAGUGUAAACACGACCACGUGCAUAGUAGUUUAGUAUCAUAGGUGCAUACAACUGCUUACUGUAUAAUGAUUUCAUGACAACCGGUGUCGUCGCUGUCCCGCUGGUAUAAAAUAUACAUUCGUCCCGUCGAUUUAGUCCGUUAGUCGCCCAACGACAUGUUACGCCGGCAAGCUCGACUCCGGCGCGAGUACCUUUACCGUAAGAGUUUGGAGACCCGUCAGAAGGUGAUUCAAGACAAAAAGGAACGGCUUAAACACUGUUUGGACGAGAACGUGCCCAUUCAUUAUGACCUGCGACCAGAGGCAUUGCACUUGCAAGAAAAACUAGAAUGGGACGACGAGUCGCCGGGGUUGUCGGCUAUCGGUGGUGGCGAGGAGGGCGGUGCGGGAAUCUCGCACGAAGACGACGAGUAUCGUUGGGCCGGUGUUGAGGACCCGAAAAUCAUGAUCACCACGUCGCACGACCCGUCAACCAGACUAAAAAAGUUCGUCAAGGAGCUCAGACUGAUAUUUCCAAACGCCCAGCGCAUGAACCGCGGUAAUUAUGAAAUUAAGCAGUUGGUACAGGCCUGCCGGGCUAACGAGGUGACUGAUUUCAUUGUUGUGCACGAGCACCGAGGUGUACCGGACACAUUGAUUGUUUGUCAUAUGCCGUAUGGCCCAACGGCUUAUUUCAAUUUGACUGACGUGGUCAUGAGGCACGAUGUUCCUGACAUUGGUACAAUGUCAGAACAGUUUCCACAUUUGAUUUUCCAUAAUUUUGAAACACAGCUCGGCAAGAGAACAAUGAACAUAUUGAAGUAUCUGUACCCGGUUCCUAAAGAAGACAGCAAGAGAGUCAUCUCUUUUGCCAAUCACGAUGAUUAUAUAUCAUUUAGACACCAUACUUACAAAACGGUGGAUGGAAACAAAAUUGAAAUGAAUGAAGUUGGUCCUCGUUUUCAGUUGAAACUUUACCAAAUAAAAUUGGGAACCUUAGAAUCUGCAGAUACCGCAGACACAGAAUGGAUGCUUAGACCUUAUAUGAACACAUCAUCCAAACGACGAUAUCUAUCAUUAAAAGAUGGAUGGACUCAAGAUGAUACAAUUUUUUCUUAAAUAGUGAUUGUUUUGUAAAUAAAAAAAUUACCUAAAUUAAAAACUUUUUGUUGUUUGUUGAAUUUAAUAGUAUUAAAAAUUACAAUACUAAAUUUUCUAUCAUGUGUAUAGAAUAUACAAACGUAAAGAAAGAUUACAAAUCGCUAUUUCAAAAUAAGUCAUUAAAGUAAAAAAAUCUCUUACUCUACCUUAACUAUAACACCUUAACAACCUGAUAUAGUUCUCGGGAGAUGUACCUUUUUUAAAUUCUCAUUAUAUAAAUACUUGUAUGCAAUAAAUAAUAAAUAUAUAACAGAAAAAUGUCUAACAUUUAACUGACAUCUAUAUAUUUUUAUUAUAAUAGUUACGAAAUAACAAUUUAUUAUUUUUAAGCAGUACCUAUAUCUUUUAAUAAAAUUGAAUUUAAUAUUACAUUUACACACAAAACUAUAUUGUUAAAAAUAUUUAUUUAUAAUUAAAAAAAAAAUUUUUCAAUGAAAUAUUGCCAAUUCAAAACUCUUAAAAAUUAUAAUACCUAGGUACUCACUAGAAAUAGGCUGAUAUCACUGGAAAACAGUUCUUUUUUUAUUGUUUUUUCAUAUUUAAAACUUGAAAAUACUAUUUAUAUUUUUUAUCCACUACAAGUUAAAGUAAAUUUUUAUCAAUGUCGCGAUACGGAUGCACCAUACAGUAUAAUUAAUAGAAAUAAGUUACAAUAUAUCAGAACUCCCUAUUCAUUACGCACUACUACAGUACUCAGUACUGUCAAGUGUCUACUAUUAUUAUUUAUUUCUAUUAGGUAAAUCGGUAGUUUAUUUGUUGUUAUGAUUAGUUAUCAUUUUAAACGGUUUUUAUAUCUGAGAAAAGACGGACGACCCAAUACCCAUACAGUAGAAUAUUGACUCCAAAAAUAAACCAAAAUAGAAUCCUACCCAUUUGUAAAUUGUGUUAUAAUGAUAAUAGAUAUUAGAUUGUUUUAUUAUUAUUUGUUAUAAAUUAGCGUUACAAAAAAUAAUUUCUAAUAGCUAUAAAUAUUACCAUCCUGAAAUUCUGUUCUAUUAUUAUAAUCAAUAAUAACCAAAUGUUUCUAAAUUAUGAUAGAGACAUUGGAAACAUCUCAAUUUUGAAUUGAAUAGAAAAACGUUUUACCAAUUUAAUUGAUCGAUCUAAUAACUAUUAUAACUGUGGUUUUCCAUUUGUGCCAUAUUUUAAAGUUUUACUCGAUAAUGAGAAAAUUUGAAUUUUUAUUGAAAUAAAUUCUCAAGGUUAUUAUAGAUGAACCGGAGGUAACUGCAGUUUCAAGAUCUGGACGAAUUAUAAAAAAGUCUUCCAAGUUGCUAGGUUUUGAAUCUUCGGACAUAC